GGGUACAUGGCUUCACCUACUUGUCAACUCUAAUGCUACCUUUAAUUAUCAAUUUGGUGAAUGAGAAUGCUGUUCAUUUGUGUAGCAGUGAGUUGUUUUCAUUUUACUUUCAGAGAUUUCACUGGAUCUGUGAAUGUGACUUCGUGGAUUGGACGCCAGCUAUUCCAAGAAGACAACAUGCUUUAUUCAUAUGGUGACGCUAUGGCCCCCUCGCUGCUUGCAUCGACCUAUCAGAGGGCUGAUGGUGGAACAGACGCCCUACAAGACAAUGAGGGAGCCUUCCAUGUGUUUGAGGAUUCGUAUGGUGCAAUGAAUGAGGCCAACUACGCUCAGUAUGAAAAUGUGAAUGAAUUUCCAUGUAAUCUUUGCCCUUUUGUGAGCAGUCAUAGGUCUAGCCUCAAUAGACACAUUCGUGAGACGCAUAAAGGAAAGAAGCCCUUUUUCUGCACAGCAUGUUCAGUCUCAUUUAAACGGGCCGAAAGGCUGAGGGACCACAUGUGCCCCUUUAAGUCUGCCAGGUAAUUUUCAUGUGUUACUUUGGGUCUGCAUACAGGCACACUGAGAACACAUGCAUGCACACACAUGGUGAUUUUUCUUUGUCCUGGAUUUAGCUGCAUUUAAUUACACGAUUUAAGGUUCUGUUCCAGCAUUCCUGUUGUUUAAGUGAUUGUGUCUUCACUGGGGCAGUCUGUUCGGUUCAGCUUAAAGGUAUUUACGUUUCCCUUUGUUGAAUGUUUCAAACAAGAAAUGGAAUAAAACCAUCUGCAAAAGUGUAUAUGUUUGACAGCA
rnacentral:lncRNA from 1 species